rnacentral:rRNA from 1 species
GGUGCUUGCACCCCGCUGACGAGCGGCGGACGGGUGAGUAAUGCAUAGGAAACUGCCCAGUAGUGGGGGAUAGCCCGGGGAAACCCGGAUUAAUACCGCGUACGCCCUUCGGGGGAAAGCAGGGGAUCUUCGGACCUUGCGCUAUUGGAUGUGCCUAUGUCGGAUUAGCUAGUUGGUGGGGUAAAGGCCUACCAAGGCGACGAUCCGUAGCUGGUCUGAGAGGAUGAUCAGCCACAUCGGGACUGAGACACGGCCCGAACUCCUACGGGAGGCAGCAGUGGGGAAUAUUGGACAAUGGGGGCAACCCUGAUCCAGCCAUGCCGCGUGUGUGAAGAAGGCUUUCGGGUUGUAAAGCACUUUCAGUGAGGAGGAAAAGUUGGUCGUUAAUACCGGCCAGCCUUGACGUUACUCACAG